rnacentral:lncRNA from 1 species
UCGGUCGCCUGGGCUGGGGGCUGCGGCCUGGUCGAGGCCGCGGGAGGGAACGGAAGAGCCCGGCGGGGGCCACGGAAACCCGCGCAGGGAGGAUCCGGGGCCGCGCGGCGAGGGAGCCCGGCCCGAGCGGGAGGUGCGCGCCCCGCUGCGCUCGGGAACCUCCGCGGCCUCCCCGUCGCCGCCGGACGAAGCCCCGGCGUCUUCGCGGCCUCAUCUCCCUCCCCCGGCACCCGCCGUACUCUCCGCGCCCGACGCCUUGUGCCUGGACUUGCUGCUCAUUUUGACGCCUCCGAGCUUUCGCUCUUGACGUCUUUCUCCCGCGUGACUGUACUCCCGCAUUUCCCCGGCGACCCUGACCUCACUUUCACCCCAGCUAAGGACUGAAACGUCCCUGCCGUAGGCUGCGGCCCCAGACAAGCUGGGCGAGGUCCCUGCAUCCAACCAUCCCGAUUCCUGAUGCUGGGUUACCUAAGCCUAAAGCAUUUUCAGUUUCCAUCUGUGCCUUUCAGGAACCUCCUGAUUUCUGAUUGCGAGUUGGACAGUGUGGUCCCCGGACCAGCAGCAUUGACAUCACCUGGGAGCUGGUGAGGAAUCCAGACUCUUAGGCCCUGCCGGGACCUGCUGAAUCGGAACCUGCAAUUUACCAAGACCUGUACACACAUUACAUAAGUGAUGUCCAGAGCAACAGCAGUCAUAUUGUGACUAUGAAGCACCAAGGAUGAGGACAUCAGACAACACACUAAGGCUGGCAGAGCAGAAGGGAAGACAGCCUGGAUCCCUGGGGCAUCACCAAGCCGCUAAACCAUUCUCAGUAACUCCUUACCUUCAGAGAAAAAGAUCCAGUAGGCCUAAUACACCAGAAAUUCUGAAACUUUUGUGUGCAGCGGACCUCUUUGGAAGGCUGGUGAAGCCUGUGGAACCUUUCUUAGAAGAGGCUUUUAGGCCGGGUGCAGUGGCUCAUGCCUGUAAUCCCAGCACUUUGGGAGGCCGAGGCGGGUGGAUCACGAG